GGGGAAUAUUGCACAAUGGGGGAAACCCUGAUGCAGCCAUGCCGCGUGUGUGAAGAAGGCCUUCGGGUUGUAAAGCACUUUCAGUGGGGAGGAAGGGCUGAUGACUAAUAUUCAUCAGCAUUGACGUUACCCACAGAAGAAGCACCGGCUAACUCCGUGCCAGCAGCCGCGGUAAUACGGAGGGUGCAAGCGUUAAUCGGAAUAACUGGGCGUAAAGCGCACGCAGGCGGUUAGAUAAGUCAGAUGUGAAAGCCCCGGGCUCAACCUGGGAACUGCAUUUGAAACUGUCUGACUAGAGUCUUGUAGAGGGGGGUAGAAUUCCAGGUGUAGCGGUGAAAUGCGUAGAGAUCUGGAGGAAUACCGGUGGCGAAGGCGGCCCCCUGGACAAAGACUGACGCUCAGGGGCGAAAGCGUGGGGAGCAAAC
rnacentral:rRNA from 1 species